rnacentral:rRNA from 1 species
GGGCUUAUACAUGCAAGUCGAGGGGGCAGCAAUGUCACCGGCGGACGGGUGCGUAACACGUAUGUAACCUACCUUUUACUAGAGGAUAUACCAUAGAAAUGUGGGGCAAUACUCUAUAUGCAGACGCUUCGGCAUCGGAGAGUUUGGAAAGGCAACGGUAAGAGAUGGACAUGCGUCUGAUUAGCUAGUUGGUAAGGUAACGGCUUACCAAGGCGACGAUCAGUAACUGGUCUGAGAGGAUGAUCAGUCACACUGGCACUGAGACACGGGCCAGACUCCUACGGGAGGCAGCAGUGGGGAAUCUUGCGCAAUGGACGAAAGUCUGACGCGGCCAUGCCGCGUGAAUGAUGAAGGUCUUAGGAUUGUAAAGUUCUUUAGCCUGUGACGAUGAUGACGGUAACAGGAGAAUAAGCCCCGGCUAACUUCGUGCCAGCAGCCGCGGUAAUACGAAGGGGGCUAGCGUUGUUCGGAAUUACUGGGCGUAAAGCGCGCGUAGGCGGUUUUACAAGCCAGAGGUGAAAUGCCUGAGCUCAACUUAGGGAUUGCCUUUGGAACUGUAUGGCUUUGAGGACGAGAGAGGUGAGUGGAAUUCCCAGUGUAGAGGUGAAAUUCGUAGAUAUUGGGAAGAACACCGGUGGCGAAGGCGGCUCACUGGCUCGUUACUGACGCUGUAGCGCGAAAGCGUGGGGAUCAAACAGGAUUAGAUACCCUGGUAGUCCACGCUGUAAACGAUGAGUGCUAGGCGUCGGCACGCUUGCGUGUCGGUGCCGCAGCUAACGCGUGAAGCNACUCCGCCUGGGGAGUACGGUCGCAAGAUUAAAACUCAAAUGAAUUGACGG